GUGGGGAAUUUUGGACAAUGGGCGAAAGCCUGAUCCAGCCAUGCCGCGUGCAGGAUGAAGGCCUUCGGGUUGUAAACUGCUUUUGUACGGAACGAAAAGACUCCUUCUAAUAAAGGGGGUCCAUGACGGUACAGUAAGAAUAAGCACCGGCUAACUACGUGCCAGCAGCCGCGGUAAUACGUAGGGUGCAAGCGUUAAUCGGCAUUACUGGGCGUAAAGCGUGCGCAGGCGGUUAUAUAAGACAGAUGUGAAAUCCCCGGGCUCAACCUGGGAACUGCAUUUGUGACUGUAUAGCUAGAGUACGGUAGAGGGGGAUGGAAUUCCGCGUGUAGCAGUGAAAUGCGUAGAUAUGCGGAGGAACACCGAUGGCGAAGGCAAUCCCCUGGACCUGUACUGACGCUCAUGCACGAAAGCGUGGGGAGCAAACAGGAUUAGAUACCCCGGUAGUCC
rnacentral:rRNA from 1 species